rnacentral:rRNA from 1 species
CGGCGUGCUUAACACAUGCAAGUCGAACGAGGCCACCCUUUCGGGGGUGAGUCGAGUGGCGGACGGGUGCGUAACACGUGAGCAACCUAUCCCUGUGCGGGGGGCAACCCGGGGAAACCCGGGCUAAUACCGCAUGUGCCGCAGUUCCCGGGUGGGGGCUGCGGGAAAGACGGCCUCUUGGCAAUGCUGUCGUGCAGGGCGGGGCUCGCGGGCUAUCAGCUUGUUGGUGGGGUAAUGGCCCACCAAGGCUGUGACGGCUAGGGGGUCUGAGAGGAUGGCCCCCCACAUUGGAACUGAGACACGGUCCAGACUCCUGCGGGAGGCAGCAGUGGGGAAUCUUGGGCAAUGGGCGCAAGCCUGACCCAGCGACGCCGCGUGCGGGAUGACGCUUUUCGGAGUGUAAACCGCUGUCGGGGGGGACGAACUUCCGGGGUGGGAAUACUGCUCCGGGGUGACGGUACCCUCACAGGAAGGCCGCCCCGGACUAACUCCCGUGCCAGCAGCCGCGKUAAGAACGGAGGGGCGCGAGCGUUGUUCGGAAAUCACUGGGGCGUAAAGCGCGCGCGGGGCGGAUCUGCAAGUCGGGAGUGAAAUUCCCGGGGCUCAACUCCGGGGCUGCUUGCGAAACUGCGGAUCUGGAGACCGGCAGGGGUUGGUGGAAUUCCCGGUGUAGCGGUGGAAUGCGUAGAUAUCGGGAAGAACACCGGUGGCGAAGGCGGCCGACUGGGCCGGAUCUGACGCUGAGGCGCGAAAGCGUGGGGAGCAAACAGGAUUAGAUACCCUGGUAGUCCACGCUGUAAACGAUGGGCACCAGGUGCCGGGGGGGAGCGACCCCUUCGGUGCCGCAGCUAACGCGUUAAGUGCCCCGCCCUGGGGAGUACGGCCGCAAGGGCUGAAACUCAAAGGAAUUGACGGGGGGCCCGCACAAGCGGUGGAGCAUGUGGUUUAAUUUCGAAGCAACGCGAAGAAACCUUACCUGGGWUUGACAUGCUGRUGAAAGCCCUGGUGAAAGCAGGGUUCUCCUUUCGGGAACGCCCAGGCCACAGGKGCUGCAUGGCUGUCGUCAGCUCGUGUCGUGAGAUGUUGGGUUAAGUCCCGCAACGAGCGCAACCCCUGUCCCGUGUUGCUAGCAGGUAGAGCUGAGGACUCGCGGGAGACUGCCGGCGUCAAGCCGGAGGAAGGUGGGGACGACGUCAAGUCAUCAUGGCCCUUACGCCCAGGGCUACACACGUGCUACAAUGGCCAGGACAGAGGGUUGCAAUGCCGCAAGGUGGAGCGAAUCCCGCAAACCUGGUCCAAGUUCGGAUUGUGGGCUGCAACUCGCCCACAUGAAGCCGGAAUCGCUAGUAAUCGCGGAUCAGCCACGCCGCGGUGAAUACGUUCCCGGGCC